ACGCUGGCGGCGUGCCUAACACAUGCAAGUCGAACGGGGAUUUUGUUUCGGCAGAAUCCUAGUGGCGAACGGGUGAGUAACGCGUAGGCAACCUGCCCUCCAGACGGGGACAACAUUCCGAAAGGGGUGCUAAUACCGGAUACGAAGGAGCCAUCGCAUGGUGGAUCUUUGAAAGAUGGCCUCUACAUGUAAGCUAUCGCUGGGGGAUGGGCCUGCGUCCGAUUAGCUGGUUGGUGGGGUAACGGCCCACCAAGGCGACGAUGCGUAGGGGUUCUGAGAGGAAGGUCCCCCACACUGGUACUGAGACACGGACCAGACUCC
rnacentral:rRNA from 1 species